UUAGUGCUGUGUCUGUUCAGGAGCCACCAUAGACUGCACACUACUGAUUCUCUGCUUUUUCAGACUGAGUUAGUUUGGAUCUUGUUUCCAGUAUGGACAGGUAUCCAAGUAAAUCUCAAACCUGGACUGAUUUCAGGAAAAUAAUCCUCUGACUGCUUCCAGGAGUUUGAUUCUCACACCUGAGCCAGGCUGGAAUGAUGCAAAUAAGGUGGAGGAAGAACUUUUAAAGACCCAGGUAUCAAGAUGCUGGAUGUAAGGAGGAUGUCUUCCAACAGGACAUCAGAACAAGAUUUGAACAGUUUGUGAAUCGGCAGUCUGAGGAACCAACCAACUUCAAGGAGGUUUCAAUUAUACUGGUGCCGAAGAAGAGCAUGAUGCUUUAUGUAAAGCAGAACAUUUUAAAUGAGCUCCACUGGAUUACACAUAAAGGAUUGACAGACACUUCCGAUGCUAGUAGCUGCUAUUUCACCUGAUCAAGGCUAUACACAGAUCACUACAUUUGGUUGACUUGUGUGCUCUUUGAUUUCAAUGGAGACUGCAAGAUUCAAGAUUUAAGGUUUUUUAAUGUCAUUUCCAAUACUUGUCAAUGGCCUAGAAGACAUGAAAUACGUGUUUGGGAAAAAAGACGCCUACUUGUUUGAUGGCUUCCACAAACCCCAGAGUAUCAAUGGAUCGUUUCCAUUUUUACACGCUAUACUCUACAAAGGAACAAAGACCCAAAGCGGAGCAAGGCUCGGGAAAUGUAAGCUCUUGACCCCUUUUCGGAAGUCAACUCAACAAUUCUACCCAUGGCUGCCUGAAAUCAUGGAGGGGGUAAGGGAAGAGCAUCUCCUGUUCUGUCAGUUUUCACCAUCCUACUGCAAUCUGUCCCCCUUUCUAUGGUUUCUAUAAUGCAGCUACAUUGUUGAUUUGCGUUGAAGUUAAAUUUGGUAAAUUGGUUUUUAUUGUCACAGGUACCAAGGUACAGGGAAAAACUUUGUUUGACAUGUCUUCCAUACAGAUUGUUUCAUUGCAUCAAUACAUUGAGAUAAGCCAAGAGAAAACAAUGACAGUGCAGAAUAAAGUGAUACAGUUCUAGAGAAUGUGCAGUGCAAGCAGACAAUAAGGUACAAGGCAAUAGCAAUGUAGAUUGUGAGGUCAAGAGUCGAUCUUGUCAACUAGGGGACUGUUCAGUAUUCUUAUAACAGCAGGAUAGAAGCUUUCCUUAAGCCUGAUCAUACGAGCUUUCAGGUUUUGGUAUCAUCUGCCUGAUGAGAGAGGGAA